rnacentral:rRNA from 1 species
UACAGGGGGGGCAAGCGUUGUUCGGAAUUACUGGGCGUAAAGCGUGCGCAGGCGGUUCGUUGUGUCUGAUGUGAAAGCCCCGGGCUUAACCUGGGAAUGGCAUUGGAAACUGGCGAGCUGGAGUGUGGCAGAGGGGGGUGGAAUUCCGCGUGUAGCAGUGAAAUGCGUAGAGAUGCGGAGGAACACCGAUGGCGAAGGCAGCCCCCUGGGCCAACACUGACGCUCAGGCACGAAAGCGUGGGGAGCAAACAGG